ensembl:lncRNA
GUCAAUGUGGAGGCUAUAUACAGGGGGUACCGGUACAGAGUCAAUGUGGAGGCUAUACACAGGGGGUACCGGUACAGAGUCAAUGUGGAGGCUAUAUACAGGGGGUACCGGUACAGAGUCAAUGUGGAGGCUAUAUACAGGGGGUACAGGUACAGAGUCAAUGUGGAGGCUAUAUACAGGGGGUACCGGUACAGAGUCAAUGUGGAGGCUAUAUACAGGGGUACCGGUACAGAGUCAAUGUGGAGGCUAUAUACAGG